rnacentral:rRNA from 1 species
AAACUAACAAGGAUUCCCCUAGUAACGGCGAGUGAACCGGGAAGAGCUCAAAUUUGAAAUCUGGCGUCCUCAGGGCGUCCGAGUUGUAAUCUAUAGAGGCGUUUUCCGUGCCGGACCGUGUCCAAGUUCCUUGGAACAGGAUAUCAAAGAGGGUGACAAUCCCGUACUUGACACGAUGACCGGUGCUCUGUGAUACGUCUUCUACGAGUCGAGUUGUUUGGGAAUGCAGCUCAAAAUGGGUGGUGAGUUCCAUCUAAAGCUAAAUAUUGGCGAGAGACCGAUAGCGAACAAGUACCGUGAGGGAAAGAUGAAAAGCACUUUGGAAAGAGAGUUAAACAGUACGUGAAAUUGUUGAAAGGGAAACGAUUGAAGUCAGUCGUGACUGAGAGGCUCAGCCGGUUCUGCCGGUGUAUUCCCCUCAGUCGGGUCAACAUCAGUUUUGUCCGGUGGAAAAGGGCGGUAGGAACGUGGCACCUCCGGGUGUGUUAUAGCCUGCCGUCGCAUACAUCGGGUGAGACUGAGGAAUGCAGCUCGCCUUUAUGGCCGGGGUUCGCCCACGUCCGAGCUUAGGAUGUUGACAUAAUGGCUUUAAACGACCCGUCUUGAACCACG